UUGAACGCUGGCGGCAGGCCUCACACCUGCCAGUCGAGCGGAUGAAGGGAGCUUGCUCCUGGCUUCAGCGGCGGACGGGUGAGUAAUGCCUAGGAAUCUGCCUGGUAGUGGGGGAUAACGUCCGGAAACGGGCGCUAAUACCGCCUACGUCCUGAGGGAGAAAGUGGGGGAUCUUCGGACCUCACGCUAUCAGAUGAGCCUAGGUCGGAUUAGCUAGUUGGUGGGGUAAAGGCCUACCAAGGCGACGAUCCGUAACUGGUCUGAGAGGAUGAUCAGUCACACUGGAACUGAGACACGGUCCAGACUCCUACGGGAGGCAGCAGUGGGGAAUAGUGGACAAUGGGCGAAAGCCUGAUCCAGCCAUGCCGCGUGUGUGAAGAAGGUCUUCGGAUUGUAAAGCACUUUAAGUUGGGAGGAAGGGCAGUAAGUUAAUACCUUGCUGUUUUGACGUUACCAACAGAAUAAGCACCGGCUAACUUCGUG
rnacentral:rRNA from 1 species